rnacentral:lncRNA from 1 species
UUUAGAAUAUCGAUACAAAAAAAAUGUUAAAAUUUGAUAUUUUUCGUGAUUGCUCGUAAGAUAUCAAAAAAAUUAAUUCUUAAAUUUUUUAAAAAUAUAAAAAUCAAGAAAAAGACAUAAUAACACCACAAAAAAUUCUCGAAUCGCACCAGUCAACUAGGAAUAUUGAUACUAAAAAAAUAUCAAAAUUUUAUAUAUUUUGUGAUUGCCUGAAAAAUAUCAAUAAUCUUAAUUCAUAAACGUCCCGAAUCACACAAGUCACUUUAGAAUAUCAAUACAAAUAAAUUAUUAAAAUUUCAAUUUUUUCGUGACUGCCCAAAAAAAUUCAAAAAUCUUAAUUCGUAAACGUCUGAAAAAUAUUAAAAUCA